rnacentral:rRNA from 1 species
UCGGGAAUUUUGGGCAAUGGGGGAAACCCUGACCCAGCAACGCCGCGUGAAGGAUGAAGUAUUUCGGUAUGUAAACUUCGAAAGAAUAGGAAGAAUAAAUGACGGUACUAUUUAUAAGGUCCGGCUAACUACGUGCCAGCAGCCGCGGUAAUACGUAGGGACCAAGCGUUGUUCGGAUUUACUGGGCGUAAAGGGCGCGUAGGCGGCAUGACAAGUCACUUGUGAAAUCUCUGGGCUUAACCCAGAACGGCCAAGUGAUACUGUCGCGCUAGAGUGCAGAAGGGGCAAUCGGAAUUCUUGGUGUAGCGGUGAAAUGCGUAGAUAUCAAGAGGAACACCUGAGGUGAAGACGGGUUGCUGGGCUGACACUGACGCUGAGGCGCGAAAGCCAGGGGAGCAAACGGGAUUAGAUACCCAAGUAG